rnacentral:rRNA from 1 species
UAAAUUGAAGAGUUUGAUCAUGGCUCAGAUUGAACGUUGGCGGCAGGCUUUAGACAUGCAAGUCGAGCGGUAACAGAUCGCUAGGAUCCCUUCGGGGUGACUUUGAUGCUGACGAGCGGCGGACGGGUGAGUAACGCGUAGGAAUCUACCCAGUAGCGGGGGAUAGCCCGGGGAAACCCGGAUUAAUACCGCAUACGCCCUACGGGGGAAAGGGGGGGCUCUCUUCGGAGACCUCUCACUAUUGGAGGAGCCUGCGUUGGAUUAGCUUGUUGGUGAGGUAAAGGCUCACCAAGGCUACGAUCCAUAGCUGGUCUGAGAGGACGAUCAGCCACACUGGAACUGAGACACGGUCCAGACUCCUACGGGAGGCAGCAGUCGGGAAUAUUGUGCAAUGGGCGAAAGCCUGACACAGCCAUGCCGCGUGUGUGAAGAAGGCCUUAGGGUUGUAAAGCACUUUCAGUAAGGAAGAAAAAGCCGAGCCAAUAACUCGGUAAUAUGACAUUACUUACAGAAGAAGCACCGGCUAACUCCGUGCCAGCAGCCGCGGUAAUACGGAGGGUGCAAACGUUAAUCGGAAUUACUGGGCGUAAAGCGCGCGUAGGUGGUUUGUUAAGUGGGAUGUGAAAGCCCCAGGCUCAACCUGGGAAUUGCAUUCCAAACUGACGGACUAGAGUACGAUAGAGGGAGGUAGAAUUCAGAGUGUAGCGGUGAAAUGCGUAGAUAUUCUGAGGAAUACCGGUGGCGAAGGCGGCCUCCUGGAUUGAUACUGACACUGAGGUGCGAAAGCGUGGGGAGCAAACAGGAUUAGAUACCCUGGUAGUCCACGCCGUAAACGAUGUCUACUAGCCGUUGGGGGGCUUGACCCCUUAGUGGCGAAGCUAACGCGAUAAGUAGACCGCCUGGGGAGUACGGUCGCAAGAUUAAAACUCAAAUGAAUUGACGGGGGCCCGCACAAGCGGUGGAGCAUGUGGUUUAAUUCGAUGCAACGCGAAAAACCUUACCAGGCCUUGACAUCCUGAGAAUUCGGUAGAGAUACCUUAGUGCCUUCGGGAACUCAGUGACAGGUGUUGCAUGGCUGUCGUCAGCUCGUGUCGUGAGAUGUUGGGUUAAGUCCCGUAACGAGCGCAACCCUUAUCCUUAUUUGCCAGCACGUAAUGGUGGGAACUCUAAGGAGACUGCCGGUGACAAACCGGAGGAAGGAGAGGAUGACGUCAAGUCAUCAUGGCCCUUACGGCCUGGGCUACACACGUGCUACAAUGGGAAGUACAGAGGGCCGCAAUGCCGCGAGGCGGAGCAAAUCCCAGAAAACUUUUCGUAGUCCGGAUCGGAGUCUGCAACUCGACUCCGUGAAGUCGGAAUCGCUAGUAAUCGCGAAUCAGCAUGUCGCGGUGAAUACGUUCCCGGGCCUUGUACACACCGCCCGUCACAUCAUGGGAGUGGGUUGCACCAGAAGUAGCUAGUUUAACCUUCGGGAGAACGGUUACCACGGUGUGAUUCAUGACUGGGAUGAAGUCGUAACAAGGUAGCCGUAGGGGAACCUGCGGCUGGAUCACCUCCUUAA